AGAAUUUGAUCCUGGUUCAGAUUGAACGCUAGCAGCGUGGAUAAGGCAUGCAAGUCGCACGGAAAUUAGAGAGCUUGCUCUCUAUUUUGAGUGGCGAAAGGGUUAGGAAUACAUGAGUAAUCUACCUUUAACUCGGGAAUAACGCUUGGAAACGGGCGCUAAUACCGGAUGUGGUUGAAAAGAGGCAUCUUUUUUCAAUCAAAGUGGGGGAUCGUAAGACCUCGCGGUUAAAGAAGAGCUCAUGCGAUAUCAGCUUGUUGGGGUGGUAACGGCACACCAAGGCUAAGACGUCUAGGCGGAUUGAGAGAUUGACCGCCAACACUGGGACUGAGACACUGCCCAGACUCCUACGGGAGGCUGCAGUCGAGAAUUUUUCGCAAUGGGCGAAAGCCUGACGAAGCGACGCUGCGUGAGUGAAGAAGGCCUUCGGGUUGUAAAGCUCUUUCGCUUAGAAACAAGAGAAGGAGGGUAAUAUACUCCUUAUUUGAGAGUACUAGGUAAAGAAGCUCCGGCUAACUCCGUGCCAGCAGCUGCGGUAAUACGGGGGGAGCAAGCGUUAAUCGGAUUUAUUGGGCGUAAAGAGUGUGUAGGUGGUAGAAUAAGUCAAAUGUAUAAUUCCGGAGCUCAACUGCGGACCUGCAUUUGAUACUGUUCUUCUUGAGGAUAGAAAGGGAAAGCGGAAUUUUGCAAGUAGCGGUGAAAUGCGUAGAUAUGCAAAAGAACACCAGUGGCGUAGGCGGCUUUCUGGCCUAUUUCUGACACUGAGACACGAAGGCAAGGGGAGCAAACAGGAUUAGAUACCCUGGUAGUCCUUGCUGUAAACGAUGCAUACUAGGUGUAGUUGGAAUCAGCCCCAGCUUUGCCGUAGCUAACGCGUUAAGUAUGCCGCCUGGGGAGUACGCUCGCAAGGGUGAAACUCAAAGGAAUUGACGGGGACCCGCACAAGCAGUGGAGCAUGUGGUUUAAUUCGAUGCAACGCGAAGAACCUUACCUGGGUUUGACAUAUUAUGGACCGCUCUAGAAAUAGAGCUUUUCUUCGGAACCGUUAUACAGGUGCUGCAUGGCUGUCGUCAGCUCGUGCCGUGAGGUGUUGGGUUAAGUCCCGCAACGAGCGCAACCCUCAUUGUUAGUUGCCAUCACGUAAAGGUGGGGACUCUAACGAGACUGCCUAGGUUAACUAGGAGGAAGGUGAGGAUGACGUCAAGUCCGCAUGGCCCUUAUGCCCAGGGCUACACACGUGCUACAAUGGCCGGUACAGACGGAAGCGAAACCGUGAGGUUAAGCAAAUCCUAUAAAACCGGUCCCAGUUCGAAUUGAAGUCUGCAACUCGACUUCAUGAAGUUGGAAUUGCUAGUAAUGGCGUGUCAGCAACAACGCCGUGAAUACGUUCCCGGGUCUUGUACACACCGCCCGUCAAAUCAUGGAAGUUGGUUCUACUCGAAGUCGUUGACUCAACCGCAAGGAGAGAGGCGCCUAAAGUGGAGCUGAUAACUAGGAUUAAGUCGUAACAAGGUA
rnacentral:rRNA from 1 species